AAGCAUAUCAAUAAGCGGAGGAAAAGAAACUAACAAGGAUUCCCCUAGUAACGGCGAGUGAAGCGGGAUGAGCUCAAAUUUAAAAUCUGGCGGCCUCAGGUCGUCCGAGUUGUAGUCUAGAGAAUCGUUUUCCGCGUUGGCCUGUGUACAAGUCCCUUGGAACAGGGCGUCAUAGAGGGUGAGAAUCCCGUCCUUGACACAGAUUACCAAUGCUUUGUGAUGCGAUCUCGAAGAGUCGAGUUGUUUGGGAAUGCAGCUCAAAAUGGGUGGUAAAUUCCAUCUAAAGCUAAAUAUUGGCGAGAGACCGAUAGCGAACAAGUACCGUGAGGGAAAGAUGAAAAGCACUUUGGAAAGAGAGUUAAACAGUACGUGAAAUUGUUAAAAGGGAAACGAUUGAAGUCAGUCAUGCUUUCCGAGACUCAGCCGAUUCUGUCGGUGUACUUCUCGGUUGGCAGGCCAGCAUCAGUUUCGAUCUGUGGAAAAGGUUGGAGGGAACGUGGCAUCUCCGGAUGUGUUAUAGCCCUUCUUCGAAUACAUAGAGCGGGACUGAGGAACGCAGCGCGCCUUUUAUUAGGUUGGCCCUCGGGUACAUACGCGCUUAGGAUGCUGGCAUAAUGGCUUUAAACGACCC
rnacentral:rRNA from 1 species